GCAAAAGCAUCACACCAUAAUUAAUGGUCACGAAAUAAUUUCAAGUUACUGUACAAAUGUAAGAUAUUGUAGGAACGGCAAAGUGUUAACUGUAAUUAAUUUUUCAACGGUUAAUUAACGGUAAAGGUUUUUCGAACGGUGCUUUUAAACGAUAAAUUGGGACGGUAAAAUUAUUCAAGUCGGCAAAGGCAAAGGUAAAUUAGAAAAAGGCGGAGGGAAUCGGGAACGGGGCCGAGGGUGUAGUCGUACCGUUGGACUCAACUUCCUCCAAGUCUUUCGGCACUGCGCAUCCAUUCUGGAUUAGAACUUUCACCGACGCUAGGUCUCCGCACUCAUCGCAUCCUCUCCCCUUGCUGCAGUUAUCCAGAACUCUUAGCUCAGUGGUAAAAGCAUAUGCCGGAAUAGGAGACAACCCAUUCCAGGUUUCAUGCCGGCCCGAGAACCAGUAAGCGAUGUUGACUGCGUAAUCUUUGCCUGCCACACUUCCAAUGGGCGCACCGGCGGUGAUCUUCUGCAAACAGUUCCACUUAUCUACACAAUCAUCAGCACCGGCACGAAACAGCUCCCCUCGAGAAUACUGUCGUUGUCGGGACAAAACGUUUUACCUGUCAGACAUACACAUACACCCAUUUACUGCUUUUCUCUUUUACAGAACUUUCUUCAAUCGGCUACUGCUGUCACUUGAAUUUUGAUGCGGGACCACAGGAAUUGUGGCUGUUAGUGCGCCCACAGCGAGGAAGGGGUCGGCUCUGUGAUUAUCUGGCAAGUAUCCAAAUGACGGCUUAGAGAAAACCGGAGACUCUGUCAGACGCUUUCUUGCAUGAAGACCUUGCAGCAGCAUUUACAUUCGGCACGGAAAUCACCUGAAAUUUGGGAAAAGGAAGUUGGUUGAGUGGAUGACAAUAAUAUUUGCAGGAAUUUCGCUUGUUAGUUUCAGCGUUCUGGCUGUUUUCCGGCGAAUAGCACUUUAAUAUUUUUGCAUGUAUGCAGCAUUCUUCGCAAUAUUAGCAACACUUUACCGGAAUCCAAGAGGCUUCGGACCGAUCGGAAUAUUAUACAUACCCACUUAAGAGUGGCGAGAUCUAUGCAUUUUAGGCGUAACGACAACUGUUUUUCAACUGCACGCUUUCACCUUGCUUUGAAAUCUCUCAUUCUUGAU